AGCAUAUAAGUAAGCGGAGGACAAAGAAACUAAACAGGAUCCCCAUAGUAAUGGCGAAUGAACCGGGAUAAACUCAGCAUGGAAAUUGGGGCCUUUGGCUUUGACUUGUAAUCUGGUGAGGCAUUGCCAACAGAGGCGCAUAUGUAAGUCUCUUGGAAAAGAGCAUCAACGAAGGUGAGAGUCCUGAUUGUCAUGUGCAGCCCCCCUGUGCACGGUGUGCCUUCUAAGAGUCACGUUCCUUGGGAUUGGAGCGCAAAUUGGGUGGUAACUUUCAUCUGAAGUUAAACAAGGGUUUGGGACCGAUAGGAAACAAGUACCAUGAGGGAAAGGUGAAAAGGACUUUGGAAAGAGAGUUAAAAGUGCCUGAAAUUGCUGAAGGGGAAGCGAAUGGAACCAGUAGUGCUGGGUGAGAUUGUCACAUGCUACAAGGAUUGGUUGCUGCCACAACGCAAGUGUGAUGGCAAUUUGUGAAUUGCUAGUGUGUGGUGUGUCUUACCUAGUGGGUCAUUGUGGGUUUAUGCAUUAAGAUAAGUCAAAGCAAGCGGGAGCAAGUUUACGAGUUUGUGAAUGUGUGUUGUUAUGCUUGUGCGUAAGCUUUAAGGUUUGUCUGGCUGCAGGGCUGUCCAUCCUCGAGCUGAGGGUUGCGAUGAGCAUAACCUUCUGCGCAGAUCUUGACGAAAUGGUUCAUUCGACCCGUCUUGA
rnacentral:rRNA from 1 species